GACGAACGCUGGCGGCGUGCCUAAUACAUGCAAGUAGAACGCAGUUGAGAAUGGGUAAGUAAUGGGUAGGUAACUGCCUCAUAGCGGGGGAUCACUAUUGGAGACGCUAGCUAAUACAGCAUACUGAGAGAUGGACAUCUGUUUUAUUAGCUAGUUUGUGAGGUAAAGGCUCACCCAGGAGACGUUACAUAGCCGACCGGAGAGGGUGAUCAGCCAAACUUGUACUGAGACACGGCCCAGACUCCGACGGUGGGCAGCAGGAGGGGAACAUCGGCAAUGGACGGAAUUCUGACCGAGCAACGCCGCGUGAGUGAAGAAGGUUUUCGGAUCGUAAAGCUCUGUUGUUUGAGAAGCGGUAACUAACCAGAAAGGGACGGCUAACUACGUGCCAGCAGCCGCGGUAAUAC
rnacentral:rRNA from 1 species